UAAGCGGAGGAAAAGAAACCAACGGGGAUUCCCAUAGUAACUGCGAGUGAAAGGGGAACAGCCCAGCGCCGAAUCCUGCUGCUGGUAACGGUGGCAGGAACUGUGGCGUGAAGAAGGUGGUUACCGGUAUGGUUCGCUUGCGUAAGUCCUCCUGAGUGAGGCUCCAUCCCAUGGAGGGUGCAAGGCCCGUAUCGUGAGCAACUGAUGCCGGUGUACACUUUCGGAGAGUCGCCUUGUUUGCGAGUACAAGGUGAAGUCGGUGGUAAACUCCAUCGAAGGCUAAAUAUGACCACGAGUCCGAUAGCGAACAAGUACCGUGAGGGAAAAUUGAAAAGCACUUUGAAGAGAGAGCGAAACAGUGCGUGAAACCGCUCAGAGGCAAGCAGAUGGGGCCUCGAAGGCAUAGCAGUGAAUUCAGCUGGCGAGUGGGUGGCGAACCGGUGAUGAGAUCGCAAGACUCUAGCCGGUUAUGUGUUCUGCCUUGCUUGUCGGUGCACUUUCGCUGUUUGUACGCCACCGCCGUUGAGCGAGCAUCCGUCGGGUAUGCAUGUUGAAGCCUUACUCCUUUACGGGCGUAGGUGCUUACCGCUAACCUGUACGCGUUUGCGCCUCAACCGGUCAUGUCAACGGGUGCCAGCGUUUGCGUUGGAUCGGUGCGCUCUUCAGUGUAACGUGGGAUGACGAGCUUGCUCGGCUCCUCGUUGCGCAGUGGAAUCGUUUCCGGUUUUCAACGUGGGCACCUUGUA
rnacentral:rRNA from 1 species